rnacentral:rRNA from 1 species
GACGAACGCUGGCGGCGUGCUUAACACAUGCAAGUCGAACGGAAAGGCCCCUUUGGUGGCACUCGUGUGGCGAACGGGUGGGUAACACGUUAGUAACUUGCCCUCUACCUCGUGGUAACUUCAGGCAACUGGAGCUAAUACCGAAUAGGAAUCCUCGCCGCAUGGUGGGGGUUGGAAAGCUUCGGCGGUGUUGGAUUGACUCGCGGCUUAUCAGCUUGUUGGUGGGGUAGUGGCUUACCAAGGCUUUGACGGGUAGCCGGCCUGAGAGGGCGACACGCCACAUUGGGACUGAGAGACGGCCCAGGUGCCUACGGGAGGCAGAAGUGGGGAAGAUUGAACAAUGGGUGGAGGGCGGAUGAAGCAACGCCGCGGGCGGGAUGACGGUUUUCGGGUUGUAAACCGCUGUCAGCAGGGGCGAAGCUUGUGGUGACGUUACCUGCAGAAGAAGCACCGGCUAACUACGUG